CUGGCAGCUGGCUGCAGCUAGGGGGAGCUCCAGGGCACAGCUGCUCACAGGGACUUCCAAUAGAGCUGGCCAGCUGAAGGACUCUCUUCCUCCGUCCUGCUGAUAGGAACAGGGGCUAUGAACGUUAUAUGGGGACUACUGGGGUACUAUUUAUUACGGCUACCAUCCUGACGGACGGGCGCAUGGAACGUGCGCGUCGCAGGGUUUUGACAUCAGAGGACACGGUUGGCGGGACGGCAGCUCCAGUCAUGGUGAGCAUCUGCCCGGGUGCACGAGGAUCGGCUGGAAUGUCUUUACAAGGUGUAAAACUCCUAGAACACCACUCUACUUGGCAGGAGAAGCAGGAAGAAUAAAGUUAUCACUGCAGACCCUUGAAGGAAGCGAUCUGGGGAUUGCUCGUCACUUACAGAAUAACACAGCGCAAGAGCAUCUGCCCGGGUGCACGAGGAUCGGCUGGAAUGUCUUUACAAGGUGUAAAACUCCUAGAACACCACUCUACUUGGCAGGAGAAGCAGGAAGAAUAAAGUUAUCACUGCAGACCCUUGAAGGAAGCGAUCUGGGGAUUGCUCGUCACUUACAGAAUAACACAGCGCAAGAGGUCCGUAAAACACUUUCUUUUCAUGUCAGACC